UCUGAGGUUGAGCCAAAGGAGCAUGAGAAAGCAUGUGGUUCUUAUAAGCCCAUAUCACAUGUAGCAUGCUGGGGAUUUCAAAAAAGCAGGCAUUCUCCAGACUUGAAUUAACUCCUGCUUCUUCCCAGAGCAGCCAUUUCCUCAUAGACUCGGAUGGAAUCAAACCAGGAAGCUCUAAGCAGCAUGAAAGCUCUCAAAUGUGACCUGUGAGUUUUUCCUAAGUUUUCUUGGCAGCCUGUGGCAGAAGAGCACUGAAAAUAGAUGCAAUAGAAUUACCAUGUGAUCCAGCAAUCCCAGGCAACCAGAACAACCCCUCCUCUUUCUCCUCCUCCUCAGUCCACUCAACAUGAAAAUGAUGAGUAUGAAGACCUUUAUGAUGAUCGACAUGGCACUUAAUACAUAAGAUAGUGUCUCGCUAUGUUGCCCAAACUGGUGUCAAACUCUUGGCCUCAAGUGAUCUUCCUGCCUCGGCCUCGCAAAGUGCUGGGAUUGCAGGCAUGAGCCACUGCACCCAGCCCAAGAACUUAAUAUUUUUAGUAAGAACAUUUUCCAGCAAUUCUUUUUCAAAAAGGUGGGCCAAGAAUUCACUUUGGCAGACCUUUGAGGAAUCACUGGGAAGAUGCCUCUAAAUUACAUAUUCUAGGAUGAGGAGGUACCAAGUAUCCUAAGGAAGGAAUAAAAUGGAAAAUUUGUGGUUGAUGAAGACUGCUUCAUGAAGACAUCAUUUGGUGUGCACAGGUGAUCACAUUGUAGAAGAAGAAUGAUGCUGUGGAGGAAUCAGGAAUGUUUUGGAAUGAAAGGGAUUGAGAUGCUGGUGACUUUCGUUUUCAGAAUCAACUUGAUUAGAAUCAAACUGAGAGGUUAGGAUGGUCCCAGCUGAGGUCCAUGGGUCAGAAAGGACUCCAAAGUCCCUGAAGUGGAACUCACUGUAUUGGAAGGAGAAGUCAACCCAGCCCAACACUAGGGGCCAAGUGUAUAGGCACCAUGUGGAAUUGGGACUGGCAGCUGACUUUGGAACCACUUCCCACAGUGGAUUUGGUUCACAAGUGGGUGUGGCCUGCAGGAGUGGAAGCAGGAAGCCCCAAAGAUGGGCAACACUAGCCCUUCAGGGAUCCUGGCCUGUAAGCAUCACUUCAGUGGGAAAGUGUUUUUGAGCAUUGUGCAGGACCACCACCAGCUUCCAAAUUUUCCUAUUCAACCCUCCAACUGGCACUUAGAAGCAGAAUGACUUGAAUGAAGUAAUUUACCCUUGGUGCCAUCAGACAAUUCAGGAGUGGGGCGGUCUCAAGCAGAAGACUUCCUGCUUGGGUUACUAAUUGAAAAAAAAACCACACUAAAGAACGUGACUUCAUUUGCACCCCAAGCUGAUGAAGAGAACCAUACUAUAACAUGCUCCAGCUUAGACUCUAACUGAAGAGUGCUCUCCUUCCAUGCCAGAAGGCAUAAACGUAGAACAUUACUUCUGCCUUCCUCCACAGGGCAUGCAGAAUGCUGAUGGGGGCAGAGCCUAAAAGGACACAAAAUGCUCAGUUAGAUUAGAGUGAGAGACAAACUGAGUCUAACAUCAUAGAAAAAAUAAUUGCCCUGUUAACGGGGAACUCAUCACAAACAUUUUGUUGGGUGUAUUAUAGGGCUGCAAAGUCUUUUUUGCAAUAUACCUUUCUUUUGCUUCUAAGGUAUUGUAUUAGUCCGUUCUCACCCUGUUAUAAAGAACCACUGGAUACUGGGUAAUUUGUGAAGAAAAGCAGUUUAAUUGACUCACAGUUCCACAGGCUGUACAGGAAGCACAGCUGGAAGGCCUCAGGAAACUUACAAUCAUGGCAGAAGGGCGAAGGGGAAGCAAGACACGUCUUCACGUGACCAGAGCAGGAGGAAGAGAGAGCGAAGUGGAAAGUACCACACACUUUUAAACUAUCAGAUGUAGUGAGAACUCACUCAGUAUCAUGAGAACAACAAGGGGAAAAUCUGCCCCCAUAAUUCAAUCACCUCCUACCAGGCCCCUCCCCCAACAUUGGGAAUUACAAUUCAACAUGAGAUUUGGGUGGGGACAUAGAGCCAAAUCAUCUCAGGUGUACAUUUAAAAAAUAUAUUUUAACAUCACUGAUAUCAGCCUCUGUGUUAUAAUUAAAUGCAUCCCCAUUUGCUGUUGGUGUCAGUAAAGUGGUUGUUAUUAGCUGCAAUGCCCAGGUUUGUUCAUAGAUGCUUAUAUCAUUGUCACUUCAAUCGAGUCAUGUGCCUGGUUGGUACUACAUAAGUUGAGC
rnacentral:lncRNA from 1 species